CACACCGCCCGUCAGCCAUGGAAGUCGGUAGCACCCGAAGUCGCUGGUCUAACCGCAAGGAAGAAGGCGCCUAAGGUGAGAUCGAUGACUGGGGCG
rnacentral:rRNA from 1 species